CUCAGCUGGGAGAGCGCUACCUUGACAGGGUAGAGGUCGCUGGUUCGAGCCCAGUCGGAA
rnacentral:tRNA from 1 species